rnacentral:tRNA from 1 species
GCCGCCCUAGCUCAGCUGGUAGAGCAUCGCUUUCGUAAAGCGGGGGUCAGCGGUUCGAGCCCGCUGGGCGGCUCCA